CUGAUGAAGACCAAAGUCAGGCUGACUAGAGAAAGCGUGAGUGAAGUUGGUGGCACUAGGAAAGAGGCACAACGGCUUCCUGGUGGGAAGACGGAUGACACCACAAUAAGUUUGGGUGCACGAGGGAGAAAGGAGAUCCCCAACAAGAGGGCAAGCAGAUAUAAAGAAGACAGAAUGAAAAAUGAAAGAACACAGACUUGGGUGAUGCCACAAAGUAUGCCCAUUGCCAGUACUAGGUACCAUCACCCUGCCUGUGGAGAGCCAUCCAGCAGAUGCAAGGAGUCACGUAGACGGGAGUGCCUGAAGAUUGAGGAACUGAGAAUGAUUAGUCUAGGAGGACGCACACAGCUCCAGGAGCCAAGAGAUAAACGCAUGAUCACCGCUAGAGAACAAUAGAGUCCUGUAUGGUUACAUAAGGGUCCACAAGGACACUGCGUGCACGGCGUUAUGAUUGGCCAAAUAGGAGGGCGAGUACGGGUGAACUUCGUGGAUAAAUACUGCUGUAAGUGCUUGGUGCGGCGCGGCCGCCAUUAGCAUUAGUACAUUAGCAUUAGUAAUAAAAGAAGUUUGCCACUCACCUCGUCUGCGGGUCGUUCUUGCGGGCCGAGAGCGACACCUGCCCUUUGCUACAAAGCGAUGAUCUGAUGGAGAGUCAUCUACUCUGCAGCUCUCUUACUCCACUCUUCAGAC
rnacentral:lncRNA from 1 species